rnacentral:lncRNA from 10 species
CAUAUCAAUGCAAGUUUUAUGCAUGCUCAAACAUGUAUAAACUAAGAAAAAAUCUGAAAGGACAGACAGCAAAAUGUUUGCAGUUUUUUUCCUCCAAGUGGUAAGAUUAAAGAACACAGACAAAAAUAGAAACUCCUCACAUGACCCACCACGAAGCCCAUCAGAUGGCAGAAUGCAGAAUCAGGUUGCAAUGGACUGAUCUUAAAACAGAUGAAGCAGUGGAGAAAAUCUUCCUGGAGCUGAUGGUAUAAUUUGCUUCUUGAAACAAUGACAGUCCAUGAAAUAAGGUGGGGAAGAUGUUUUGAACCUCUCUCAGCAGCAGAUCCCUAAAUCACAGACCCAGAACUUGGAGGAAACAGGAAACAGGAGGCCAUCUCUGCACCUCUCCAGCACUGCUCUGGUUGGUGGGCAGAAUAUCAUACAAUCAUCACGAUUCUUAUAUCAAAAACCAAAUUCUA